CACAUUGGGAUCCACCUGUUCCAGACUUCACUUUAUCCUUCUUUGCCUGGAUACCCUGAGGGAAGAAGUGAAAAAUGGAACAACAGAUAAGGAAACAGAAGCAGCAGCUCAGAUAACUUACUUGAGGAGGAUGCACAUUUUUGUAUGGGGAACUUAUAAACAGACACAAGCUGAGAAGGCUAGGCUGACUCCAUGACAGGCUUCAAAUUGACAGUUCAGGAGACAAGGCCUAAAUCUCUGUUUCCAAGAACUGGGUAAGUCCAGGCAAGUCCAGGCCUCAGAAGCUGCCUUGCCACCUGGCCUGAGGCAAGGACAACGAGUCAGCAGCAGUUUUUAGACUUUCUCAGCCAAAAGUUUCCAGACCUCCCCGGCAACAGUUUCUAGCUCCCACACCCCAGAAAUGGUUCUGGAAUGUCCCUAGAGAUGGAGAAAGAUAAAGGUCACCUACCCCCCGAAAUUCCUCUAAUGUGCUUU
rnacentral:lncRNA from 1 species